AGAUUUUUCAAUCCACUACGGAAGGAAAUCAGCUAAAAGCCAAACAAUCUGAUGUGUUUGUGGAGCAAUCCCAGCACAUUGGAACCAUCCACUUGUGCACAAACAUAAGCCCCUAUUUUCCUGGACAAAGGCAGAAGAUCUUAUCCAGAGUAUGCUGACCUCCCAGGGUCGUUCCAGAGAGUCUGCUCAAUUUCUGAACAUCAACAGGACCGCUCAAACAUGAAAUCGCUGUGUCCAAAGAAAUAAAGACAGCUCCUAGCCGUUUUAAAGAAGCUCCUUCUAUAGUGUGUGGAGUUUUUAUUAUUAUUAUUAUUAGUGUCAUGAUUUGAUCAAAAGACAAAAUAAAAUAAAUGAG
rnacentral:lncRNA from 1 species